AAGCAAAGGAGAAAAAAUGACUCAAAUUCUCAUGUUUUCUUAUGCUUUGAUUGUCUUUCUUUCUUUAUUUCUUCUUGUAAUUGGUACAAGUACAAAUACAAGUGACGGUCCUAUCAAGACAGGCCUUGUCUGCAUAACCGACAAGGAUUGUCCAAUAAAGACAUAUUAUAUUUCUAGGUGUAUUGAGAAUUUAUGUGAGUUUCAUUAAUUAAGUUUGAAAAUAAUAAUGUUCAUCGCAAAAGUAUUUUCAUAAUGUUUGUACUUUAAAGUAUUUUAAAAAUUAAAUUUCUACUGUUAUAAAAAAAAAAUUAAAUUUCUAUGUGUAUGAUCUUUCAAUUUUUGUGCUAACAUAGUUGGAAUGUAUAAUCAAUCCUUGAUGUUUAGACGCUCUUGCUUAAUAAAAUAUUAUAUUUGUUUA